rnacentral:rRNA from 1 species
UGGGGAAUAUUGGACAAUGGGCGAAAGCCUGAUCCAGCCAUGCCGCGUGUGUGAAGAAGGUCUUCGGAUUGUAAAGCACUUUAAGUUGGGAGGAGGGGCAGUAAGCGAAUACCUUGCUGUUUUGACGUUACCGACAGAAUAAGCACCGGCUAACUCUGUGCCAGCAGCCGCGGUAAUACAGAGGGUGCAAGCGUUAAUCGGAAUUACUGGGCGUAAAGCGCGCGUAGGUGGUUCGUUAAGUUGAAUGUGAAAGCCCCGGGCUCAACCUGGGAACUGCAUCCAAAACUGGCGAGCUAGAGUAGGGCAGAGGGUGGUGGAAUUUCCUGUGUAGCGGUGAAAUGCGUAGAUAUAGGAAGGAACACCAGUGGCGAAGGCGACCACCUGGGCUCAUACUGACACUGAGGUGCGAAAGCGUGGGGAGCAAACAGG